GAUGAACGCUGGCGGCGUGCCUAAUACAUGCAAGUCGAGCGAACAGACGAGGAGCUUGCUCCUCUGACGUUAUCGGCGGACGGGUGAGUAACACGUGGAUAACCUACCUAUAAGACUGGGAUAACUUCGGGAAACCGGAGCUAAUACCGGAUAAUAUAUUGAACCGCAUGGUUCAAUAGUGAAAGACGGUUUUGCUGUCAGUUAUAGAUGGAUCCGCGCCGGAUUAGCUAGUUGGUAGGGUAAUGGCUUACCAAGCCAACGAUGCAUAGCCGAUCUGAGAGGAUGAUCCGCCACACUGGUACUGAGACACGGCCCAGACUCCUACGGGAGGCAGCAGUGGUGAAUCUUAGAAAAGGGGGGCAACCCUGAUCUAGCCAUGCUGCGUGAGUGAUGAAGGCCUUAGGGUUGUAAAGCUCUUUCAGCUGGGAAGAUAAUGACGGUACCAGCAGAAGAAGCCCCGGCUAACUCCGUG
rnacentral:rRNA from 1 species